GGACACAAGGCAUUAUGUGAACCUUUUUAAAAACAUUUGUUCUAAUUUUCUUGAUGACAAUGAUGACAUGGAAUAUCACCACAUUUUUCCUUCUAAUUUUGCAUACUACCAAAUGUAUGAAGGAUGUGAAGGGACCUACUUUGACAAUUGUACUUGAGUGUAAGCCAUCUAGAGUGAUUGAAGAAUUUUCAGAUUCUACAAGAGUGAUUGUGUUGGUGAUUCGACUUCUAAGUCUACUAGAAGAAUGGAAAGCUAGUAUCAAAUGUUGGCAAUGAGUGUAGACCUAGCUAUAAGAUGACUUCAAUGGAGUGAUUGCUCUAGUGGUCCGACUUCCAAGUCUACCAUGAAGAGUGGAAAGCUAGUAUCAAAGGUUGGCAAUGAGUGUAGACCUGGUAGUAAGAUGACAUCAAUGGCUCACAAGGAAAAUGUUAUUUGUCCUAACAAACACCGGUUGGAUUAGCUGCUAUCCUAAAGGGCUUUGUCCUAACAUGUCAAGAUGGAACAACAUAGCUCUCUAUGUCCUUGCACUAAUUUCAAGCAUAGUUUUAAGCAUGGCCAGUAUCAAUGUUUGUACAGAGUAGUAUGGCUGAGGAAUACUAAUGCUUCUGGGCUUUGGUGACAUUGAUCCCAGACAAUUUUACUAGAAUCGAUCUCUCUGACAUAUACAUUGCAAUUUUUCAUUCCUAUGCUUCAUAUGCAAAUCAAACAAGAAAGAGAUAGACCA